UACGUAGGGGGCAAGCGUUAUCCGGAUUUACUGGGUGUAAAGGGAGCGCAGACGGUUAUGCAAGUCUGGAGUGAAACCCCACAGCUCAACUGUGGGCUUGCUUUGGAAACUGUGUAACUAGAGUACUGGAGAGGUAAGCGGAAUUCCUAGUGUAGCGGUGAAAUGCGUAGAUAUUAGGAGGAACACCGGUGGCGAAGGCGGCUUACUGGACAGCAACUGACGUUGAGGCUCGAAGGCGUGGGGAGCAAACAGGAUUAGAAACC
rnacentral:rRNA from 1 species